UUGGAGGGCAAGUCUGGUGCCAGCAGCCGCGGUAAUUCCAGCUCCAAUAGCGUAUAUUAAAGUUGUUGCAGUUAAAAAGCUCGUAGUUGAAUUUCGGGGUUAGUAGAUUGGUCAUGCCUCUGGUAUGUACUGGUCUCACUGAUUCCUCCUUCCUGAUGAUCCGUAAUGCCAUUAAUUUGGUGUCGCGGGGAAUUUGGACUGUUACUUUGAAAAAAUUAGAGUGUUUAAAGCAAGCUAACGCUUGAAUACAUUAGCAUGGAAUAAUGAAAUAGGACGUUCGAUCCUAUUUUGUUGGUUUCUAGGAUUGACGUAAUGAUUAAUAGGGAUAGUUGGGGGCAUUAGUAUUCAAUUGUCAGAGGUGAAAUUCUUGGAUUUAUUGAAGACUAACUACUGCGAAAGCAUUUGCCAAGGAUGUUUUCAUUAAUCAAGAACGAAAGUUAGGGGAUCGAAGACGAUCAGAUACCGUCGUGGUCUUAACCAUAAACUAUGCCGACUAGGGACCGGAUGAUGUUAAUUUUUUAAUGACUCAUUCGGCGCCUUACGGGAAACCAAAGUGUUUGGGGUUC
rnacentral:rRNA from 1 species